CCGAGAUGAGUUCUCCCUGAGACUUAAAGUCUCCUGAAGGAACGUUGAAGACGACGACGUUGAUAGGCCGGGUGUGUAAGCGCAGCGAUGCGUUGAGCUAACCGGUACUAAUGAACCGUGAGGCUUAACCUUACAACGCCGAAG
rnacentral:rRNA from 1 species